ACGGCGAGUGAGAGGGAAGAGCCCAAGAUUGAAAGCUGGCGUCUUCGGCGUCCGCAUUGUAAUCUCAAGAAGUGUUUUCCGCUUCGGACCAAGCCUAAGUCCCCUGGAAAGGGGCAUCAUAGAGGGUGAUAAUCCCGUACAUGGCUUGGAGCGCCCGAGGCUUUGUGAUACGCUUUCUAAGAGUCGAGUUGUUCGGGAAUGCAGCUCAAAAUGGGUGGUAAAUGCCAUCUAAGGCUAAAUAUUGGGGAGAGACCGAUAGCGAACAAGUACAGUGAUGGAAAGAUGAAAAGAACUUUGAAAAGAGAGUUAAACAGUACGUGAAAUUGCCAAAAGGGAAGGGUAGGAGGUCAGAGAUGCGGCCUGGGAUUCAGCCUUGCUUUUGCUUGGUGUUUUUCUCAGAUUGCAGGCCAACGUCGGUUUUGGGCGCUGGAGAAGGGUGGAAGGAAUGUGGCACCUCUCGGGGUGUGUUAUAGCCUUCUACUGGAUACAGUGACCGAGACCGAGGACAGCAGCGUACUCGCAAGAGCGGGCCUUCGGGCACCUUUACGCUUAGGGCGUUGGCAUAAUGGCCCUCUACCACCCGUC
rnacentral:rRNA from 1 species